UACGGGGGGGGGCAAGCGUUGUUCGGAAUUACUGGGCGUAAAGGGCUCGUAGGUGGCCAACUAAGUCAGACGUGAAAUCCCCAGGCUUAACCUGGGAACUGCGUCUGAUACUGGAUGGCUUGAAUCCGGGAGAGGGAUGCAGAAUUCCAGGUGUAGCGGUGAAAUGCGUAGAUAUCUGGAGGAAUACCGGUGGCGAAGGCGGCAUCCUGGACCGGCAUUGACGCUGAGGAGCGAAAGCCAGGGGAGCAAACGGG
rnacentral:rRNA from 1 species